rnacentral:lncRNA from 1 species
CACUGGCGUCACUGUCUCCGUUCGGUCACACACUGUGUGCUUGAAGUUUGGACUUGCUAUUUACUCGCAAUUUAAAUCUUAAUCAUUAAGUUCUUCCUCAUUCGCUACGUAUUUGUCUCUCCUACUUAGGGUGACCAAACCCUUAAUACAUUUAUACAAACAAAACUGCUUUAAAAACGGAGAAGCAUCGAUGGAGGCGUUGGAGCUGGAGCUGGAAGAAGUGGAGUCCCAGAUCCGCGCGCUGGUGGUAAGACGGUCGCGGCUACGGGAACGGCUUCUAGCCGUACCUCAUGCUAAGGCCGUCUCAUCACCUAAGGUACGUGGAAAUUACAACCACAUCAUUCCCUCUACCUCAACCCCGCGUCCUUCUCUGUCCAGGCCCAGCGCACCCGGGGCGCGGCUCAGCCAGGCGUCGUUCACGCCGACACCCGGCUACCACGGCGCCUGGGUGCAGCCGCGCAAGGUGCUUCCCAGAUCCCGGGGCAGAACGUCUCCGCCUGUGUUCGAGAUCUCCACGGAGAACCGCUUCUCCCCGCUCCGCGAGUCGGGUCCGAUGUGGCCAUCAUCGGUGACUCGAUCGUUCGUCACGUCCGUGCCGCCUCCUCAAAAGGUAAUAAAGUACGUACUUUCUGCUUUCCUGGUGCCCGUGUGAAAAAUAUUUCUACACAGAUUCCAACCAUCCUGGGCGCUGCCGAGAGCCCUGGUGCCGUUGUCCUCCACGUGGGGACAAACGACACCGGGCUCCGGCAGUCGGAGAUCCUGAAGAAGGACUUCAGGAGCCUGAUCGAGACGGUUCGACGCACCUCGCCCGCCACGCAGAUCAUCGUUUCUGGGCCGCUUCCUACCUACCGCCGAGGAAAUGAAAGGUUCAGUAGACUUUUAGCUUUGAAUGAAUGGCUAAUAACAUGGUGUAAAGAACAAAAAUUGCUCUUUGCUAAUAACUGGAAUCUUUUCUGGGAGCGUCCUAGGCUCUUCCGUCCUGACGGCCUGCACCCCAGUCGAGCCGGAGCUGAACUCCUGUCGGACAACAUCUCCAGACUACUUCGCACCAUCUGACUAGCAGGUAAAAAUUCACAAAAUUCACACUAUAGCCACCUAGACUCUUGUUCACCCCACUUAAACAUCAGUAACGCAUAUCUGGCGAAUCCUAUAGAGACUGUGUCUGUUCCUCGUAUUAUUAGAUUAAGAAAUAAACGUACUGUGUGCUCCAGGAAAAAUCUAGUAAGAAUCAAACCAGAAAAACCAGUAGAAAGUGAAAAUACAAAUUUCGUAAAACUUGGUCUCCUAAACAUCAGGUCACUUGCACCUAAAGCACUUAUCAUUAAUGAAAUAAUAACAGAAAACAAUCUUAAUGUACUCUGUCUCACUGAAACCUGGCUGAAACAAAAUGACUAUAUUUGCUUAAAUGAAGCAACUCCUCCAGGAUUCUUAUAUAAACAUGAGGCUCGUCAAACUGGUCGUGGUGGUGGAGUUGCAUCAAUCUUUAGUGAUUUCCUUAAUAUUAAACAGAGAAACGAACUUAUGUUUAGCUCUUUUGAAGUAUUAUCGCUUAAUGUUCAGCUUCCACAUACUAUACAAAAACCUAUGUUAUCUCUCGCUUUAAUCACCAUAUAUAGACCCCCAGGACCCUAUGUCAAAUUUCUAAAAGAAUUUUCUGAUUUUAUUUCUGACUUACUAGUCAAAACUGAUAAAAUGCUAAUUGUAGGUGACUUUAACAUCCACAUAGAUGACGCUAAUGAUACAUUAGGGCUCGCGUUUAUGGAUUUAAUACACUCACUUGGGAUAAAGCAAAACGUUGUGGGUCCAACCCAUCGCUUAAAGCAUACAUUAGAUCUAAUUCUGUCUUAUGGAAUCGAGGUUAUUGACGUAGACAUUAUACCACAAAGUGAUGAUAUUACAGAUCACUACCUCUUACUAUAUAAGCUAUGUUUACCUGAAAUCAGCAAACCCGCUCUAAUACUCCGCCCUAGUAGAACUAUUGUUCCGUCAACUAAAGAUGAAUUUAUAAAUAACUUACCUGAUCUCUCUCUAUUUCGUAAUGCACCCGCAAACUCAAAUGAUCUUGAUGUAGUAACCAGCAGUAUGGAUGCCAUCUUUACUAGCACACUAAAUACUGUGGCACCCAUCAAAUUAAAAAAGGCUAGAGAGAUUAAAACUAUACCAUGGUAUAAUAGUCAUACUCGUGCGCUCAAAACAGCAACCCGCGCCCUGGAACGUAAAUGGAAAAAAA